rnacentral:rRNA from 1 species
UACAGAGGUCCCAAGCGUUGUUCGGAUUCACUGGGCGUAAAGGGUGCGUAGGUGGCCAGGUAAGUUUGGUGUGAAAGCUCGGAGCUUAACUCCGAAAAGUCAUUGAAUACUAUCUGGCUGGAGGGUCGGAGGGGAGACUGGAAUUCUCGGUGUAGCAGUGAAAUGCGUAGAUAUCGAGAGGAACACCAGUGGCGAAGGCGAGUCUCUGGGACGGUACUGACGGCUGAGACGCGAAAGCGUGGGGAGCGAACAGG